GAUUGAACGCUGGCGGCAUGCUUUACACAUGCAAGUCGAACGGCAGCGCGGGCUUCGGCCUGGCGGCGAGUGGCGAACGGGUGAGUAAUGCAUCGGAACGUGCCCAGUAGUGGGGGAUAGCCCGGCGAAAGCCGGAUUAAUACCGCAUACGACCUGAGGGUGAAAGCGGGGGACCGAAAGGCCUCGCGCUAUUGGAGCGGCCGAUGUCGGAUUAGCUAGUUGGUGGGGUAAAGGCUUACCAAGGCGACGAUCCGUAGCUGGUCUGAGAGGACGACCAGCCACACUGGGACUGAGACACGGCCCAGACUCCUACGGGAGGCAGCAGUGGGGAAUGUUGGACAAUGGGGGCAACCCUGAUCCAGCCAUGCCGCGUGCGGGAAGAAGGCCUUCGGGUUGUAAACCGCUUUUGUUCGGGAAGAAAUCCUCUGGGCUAAUACCCCGGGGGGAUGACGGUACCGGAAGAAUAAGCACCGGCUAACUACGUG
rnacentral:rRNA from 1 species